rnacentral:rRNA from 1 species
UACUAGAGUAGCACUCGCAUAUCAAUAAGCGGAGGAAAAGAAACUAACAAGGAUUCCCCUAGUAACGGCGAGUGAAGCGGGAAGAGCUCAAAUUUGAAAUCUUAAAGGGUUUCCCUUUACGAAUUGUAGUUUAAAGAAGUGUUUUCUGUUGAGGUUUUGGUAAAAGUUCUUUGGAAUAGGACAUCAUAGAGGGUGAGAAUCCCGUAUUUGACCUUUACUUUCAACUUUGUGAUACACUUUCAAAGAGUCGGAUUGUUUGGGAAUGCAGUCCAAAAUGGGUGGUAAAUUUCAUCUAAAGCUAAAUAUUGGCGAGAGACCGAUAGCGAACAAGUACCGUGAGGGAAAGAUGAAAAGAACUUUGAAAAGAGAGUUAAACAGUACGUGAAAUUGUCAAAAGGGAAGCGUUUGACACCAGUGUUGUUUUUCUGAAAAUCAAUUAAAGAACUGUUUAUGCUAAGUUGUUUAGACUUUAUCAGCUAACUGUUUAGUUUUGAGCUUUUCUUUAAUGCACUUUUCAGUUAACAAGUCAACAUCAAUUUCUUUUGCUGUAAAAAAGCUUGAGGAAGGUGGCUUGAGAUUCGUCUUAAGUGUUUAUAGCCUCUUGCCUAUGCAGUCGGAGAGAUUGAGGUCUGCAGCGUAGAUCCUUCGAGGCUAAAUGCAUUUGUGCUAAGUUAUAGCAUUUUAUAGACAACUUGUUGACUAUGAUUUGUCUUGUAGCUUACUCGCUUAUGUUAUUUUACCUACGCUUAGGAUGUUGAUCUACAGAGCGAGAGU